CUCCAAGCCAUGAGAUGGAAGAGUGUCCUUAUAUGAAGACUGCUGGAGUUCCAUUGGCUGCCUUGUCUCUGCUUAAUCCAUUAAGACAACGUUGAAUGUUCCCGGCUCAUAUAUUUAUAAAGGAAAAAAAAGAAGAAGGAAAAAGACUUUGAAAAAUGGAAGUGCCUCAGGCUGUGGCUGGUGUUUGAAGGGCUGCUCCACACAUAUCAAUCAUCCUUUGACAAGAUCUGGAAGAAAAAAAAAAACAACAAAAACC
rnacentral:lncRNA from 1 species